UGUCGUGAGAUGUUGGGGUUAAGUCCCGCAACGAGCGCAACCCCUGCAUUCAGUUGCCAUCGGGUAAUGCCGGGCACUCUGGAAGGACUGCCAUCGACAAGGAUGGAGGAAGGUGGGGAGUGACGUCAAGUCAUCAUGGCCCUUAUGUCCAGGGCGACACACGUGCUACAAUGGCCGGCACAACGGGAAGCGAGUUCGCGAGGACGAGCGGAUCCCUCAAAGCCGGUCGCAGUUCGGAUUGAAGUCUGCAACCCGACUUCAUGAAGCUGGAAUCGCUAGUAAUCGUGGAUCAGCCAAGCCGCGGUGAAUACGUUCCCGGGCCUU
rnacentral:rRNA from 1 species